AUUGAACGCUGGCGGCAGGCUUAACACAUGCAAGUCGAGCGGUAGCACAGGGGAGCUUGCUCCCUGGGUGACGAGCGGCGGACGGGUGAGUAAUGUCGGGGAAACUGCCUGAUGGAGGGGGAUAACUACUGGAAACGGUAGCUAAUACCGCAUAAUGUCGCAAGACCAAAGUGGGGGACCUUCGGGCCUCACACCAUCGGAUGUGCCCAGAUGGGAUUAGCUAGUAGGUGGGGUAAUGGCUCACCUAGGCGACGAUCCCUAGCUGGUCUGAGAGGAUGACCAGCCACACUGGGACUGAGACACGGCCCAGACUCCUACGGGAGGCAGCAGUGGGGAAUAUUGCACAAUGGGCGCAAGCCUGAUGCAGCCAUGCCGCGUGUGUGAAGAAGGCCUUAGGGUUGUAAAGCACUUUCAGCGAGGAGGAAGGGUGAUGUGUUAAUAGCACAUGACAUUGACGUUACUCGCAGAAGAAGCACCGGCUAACUCCGUGCCAGCCGCCGCGGUAA
rnacentral:rRNA from 1 species